rnacentral:rRNA from 1 species
AAGUAAAAGUCGUAACAAGGUUUCCGUAGGUGAACCUGCGGAAGGAUCAUUACCGAGUUGAUUCGAGCUCCGGCUCGACUCUCCCACCCUUUGUGUACCUACCUCUGUUGCUUUGGCGGGCCCGCGGUUCGGCCUCGUGCCGUCCAGCACCCGCCAGAGGACCACAAAACUCCAGUCAGUGAACGUCUCAGUCUGAAAAACAAGUUAAUAAACUAAAACUUUCAACAACGGAUCUCUUGGUUCUGGCAUCGAUGAAGAACGCAGCGAAAUGCGAUAAGUAAUGUGAAUUGCAGAAUUCAGUGAAUCAUCGAAUCUUUGAACGCACAUUGCGCCCCUUGGUAUUCCGGGGGGCAUGCCUGUUCGAGCGUCAUUUCAACCCUCAAGCUCUGCUUGGUAUUGGGCUCCGUCCUCAGGGACGCGCCUCAAAGACCUCGGCGGUGGCGUCUUGCCUCAAGCGUAGUAGAAAACACCUCGCUUUGGAGCGCACGGCGUCGCCCGCCGGACGAACCUUUGAAUUUUUCUCAAGGUUGACCUCGGAUCAGGUAGGGAUACCCGCUGAACUUAAGCAUAUCAAUAAGCG